AAGCAUGGGUAGCGAAGAGGAUUAGAUACCCUCGUAGUCAUGCCGUAAACGAUGUGUGUUAGACGUUGGAAAUUUAUUUUCAGUGUCGCAGCGAAAGCGAUAAACACACCGCCUGGGGAGUACGACCGCAAGGUUAAAACUCAAAUGAAUUGACGGGGACCCGCACAAGUAGUGGAGCAUGUGGUUAAUUCGAAGAUACGCGCAGAACCUUACCAACACUUGACAUGUUCGUCGCGACUUUAAGAGAUUAAAGUUUUCGGUUCGGCCGGACGAAACACAGGUGCUGCAUGGCUGUCGUCAGCUCGUGUCGUGAGAUGUUGGGUUAAGUCCCGCAACGAGCGCAACCCUCACUUUUAGUUGCCAUCAUUAAGUUGGGCACUCUGAAAGAACUGCCAGUGAUAAGCUGGAGGAAGGUGGGGAUGACGUCAAGUCCUCAUGGCCCUUACGUGUUGGGCUACACACGUGCUACAAUGGUAUCUACAACAGGAAGCAAGACGGCGACGUUAAGCAAAUCCUUAAAAGAUACCUCAGUUCGGAUUGCACUCUGCAACUCGAGUGCAUGAAGCUGGAAUUACUAGUAAUCGUGGAUCAGCGUGCCACGGUGAAUGCGUUCCCGGGUCUUGUACACACCGCCCGUCACACCAUGGGAGUUGGUUCUACCUUAAGGCAAGGUUUAAAACCCUUGACCACGGUAUAGUCAGCGACUGGGGUGAAGUCGUAACAAGGUAACCGUA
rnacentral:rRNA from 1 species